GGCUAUCAUGUAACUGUUCUUAGCCAUCCACCACCUACAAGGCUGCCUCAUCUGCCUGCUCAUCAGAUGCGGCCUCACCCCCCUAACAGAGGCAGACACUGGGAGAGUAACAGGCCUUACAGAGUCAGAACAGAGCACCCAUCCACUCACAUCCAGACAGCGCCACCUCCAGCACCUGCUCCUUCAGUAUACCCAUCUCCCUCCCUCUACCCACCCCCACCACAGCCCUACCCCCCUCCUUAUCCCUCUGCCCCUGGCCUUAUUGCUCCUCCUGCUAUCGGUUACCAGCCCCAGCCUAUUUUUGCACCUGGCCCACCAGGACUCAACCCUCCUUGGGUUCCCCCAGGUACCCAGCCCCCUCUUGCUCCCCUCCCUCCCUCCCUCUCUCAGCCCCCUCUCUCCAAGGAAGAUUUUUACAGACCGCGGCAUCGACAGGACAAGUAAGUAGUAAAAAUUUUUGGGUAGGAGAGGUCUUUAAACAGCUGCUAUAGCCACUAAAUAUUUGGAAUGUACAUAUGAAAUAAACAUCACUCAGGACUAGCAUUAUGAAUUCCACAAAAUAAAAUUGGUCCAAACUAGAGUUUCAGUGUUUUUUGUCAUUGUGUUAACAGAGUUACGUCCAAACUGGAUGAAUUCACUAAAGAUUUCCACAAAGAGCUUAUGAAGUACAGAAAUCCACCAAAGAGACGGAGACCGUCUUAUUCCAGGUCCCGGUCAUACAGUCGUUCUCCAUUCAGCCGUUCUCCUUACUCUCGCUCUAGAUCAAGAUCUAGAUCAAGAUCAUUGUCCAGAUCUUACUCUUACUCCCCCAGUAGAUCCCGCUCUCGUUCACGUUCCCACGGCCGUUCUUAUCCCCGUUCACCUUAUUCUAGACGCAAUGGACGUAGUUAUGGACGGUCACGGACAAGAUCCCGCUCUCGUUCAAGGUCUUAUGGUUAUCGGCGGUCUGGUUCACCACGGUCUCCUCUGUCCUACCGCAGUGGAGCUUGGGAGGGAGCAGAAGGAGGUGCGCCCUACAGGUCUAGGUCAAGGUCUCGCUCUCCUGGUGGCUACCGGAGCCGCAGCCCUAGUGGACGAAAGCCACUUACUCGUGAGCUAGCGGCAUAUGAAAUGAAGACUUCAAGUCCUGGAGGACACGAUCGCUGGGAGAGAGAAAGGUACCGACAAUGGGAUUGCCAAGACUGGUACUACAAAGACUAUGACGGCCAACACCCCCCACUGCAUCACAGAGCUCGGGGCAGCAGAGACAGAGAGAGGGACAGAAUGUCACCAUUAUCCAGAGAUUACUCCCCCCAAGGGAGAGGAAGAAGAGGGAGAGAUGAGAGAGGCGGUCCCUCUCAUCAUCCCCCACCCUCUUCCUCAUCAGGGACCAAGUCCAGCAAAGUCCUGAAGACAAAAAAAAUCAAAAAGAAGAAAUCUGGAGAGGAACCAGAACCCUCGCAUCAGUCAGUGGACAGAGGUGAUGCUACUCCUGUUAGAGAUGAACCAAUGGAGGAGAUUCCUUCAAUUACUAAAACACCACCUGUCUCCUCAAAGCCUCCAGUUAGCACUGCAAGCACUAAAGCGCCAGCUUCUAAGAGCACUGCUGCACCUUCUAAACCCUCAACCAAGUCAACAUCGAAGCCUCAGUCUGAUAAGAUGAAGAAAGAGAAGGGUCAGAAGGUAAAAGCUAAAGUAAAGACAGAAGGUGUGAAGGUAAAGAGUGAAAAGGUAAAGAAGAAAACUGGAGAAGGAGUGGUGACCAAAAAGAAAGAUUAUUCAUCCUCUUCAUCUGUUUCUAAACCAUUAAGGACUGUUAAAGUCAAACCAGAAGAUGCCCCCAACUCAACAACGCCUAAGAAGGACAGGACUAAAACCCCUGCAGUGAAGCCUGCCCUGCUCAAAACCCCUCCACUGUCCUCCCAGAACCUGCCUCUGCCCCAUCCUUCUGUUCAUGAUGGUCCUCGACCUGGCCAUGACAUUCGGGGGAGAAGAGAUCUCCCACAGAGCGGUGGUCUCCUUCCCAUCCCUCAUCAACAUGGGCUCCCGGUGCUUCACCGACCUCCCUCCCCAGUUGACAGUCGGAGAAGGAUGGUAGAGGAUGGCCGCUCUUUACUUGGGCCUCCUCCUGGAAAGCUGAGGAGGCUAGACGGGCUAGUAGGUGGACCUGAACUCAUGUCCCACUCACACAUGUCUCACCAACCCCUGAUCCACAGAGUCCCACCUCCCUCAGACAGGCCUGGACUUCUUCCUCUGCCAGGAAGCCGUGAGAUGGGCCGAGGAGACACAGAUAGAGGAUCCAUUAGACCUCUGAUGGACCUUCAGGUGAAACCAUUGAGAAAGAUCAAAUUGAACAGAGAUUUGGGGAGAAAAGGCAGCACUGAGACAGUAGCCUCAGACAGAGCUCCAUCAGGUCCUGAGAAGACAGCGACCACCUCAGACCACCGAUCAGCAACUGCUAGCAUCUCUGAAGGAGACCGACCCAGCAGUACCCCAGAAGGGUUUGGAAGAAAGGAGCGGUCUGCCUCUGUGGAGAGGGGAGUAUCCAGAGAGAGACCAGGAAGUGCUGGAGAGAGACUGCAGGGCUCAGACCGAGAGGAGGACAGAAGCUCCGGAGUGGACAGAGAGCGGGAUCGAGCUUCUGGAUCAGAUAGAGAAAGAGACAGAGGUCUGGGGUCUGACAGAGAGAAGGAGAGGGUGUUGGGGUCCCAGAGGGUAGCAACUACAGUGGAGAGAGAUGCCGAAGGAGACAGGUCAUUUAGGAUGGACCGAAAGAACUCCAGUGGUGGAAGUGUAAGCGCAAGCGCAAGGUCCGUCUCUCUUGAUAAAAUGACCAUUGCUGAGAAAUCAGCCAGGAGACAGGUAGACCAUCAGGAUAAACCAAGCGUAUCCUCCAAGGAGAGAGGAGAGGGGUCAGAACAAUCUGCUAAAUCUGACAGGAGUGUGUCCAAGGACAGAACAGAGAGGAGUGUGCCCUCAGGAGAGAAACCAGCUGCUGCUCACCGAGAAGCAGUGAAAGGUGGUGAAGAGGCUGCUGCGGUGAAGAGCAAACCAAGGAUCAGCAGAAAGACUCUGGCCAGCCACACUGGGAGCUCCACCAAGUCAACUCAAGAUACAAAGCGGGACUCGGAAAGAGACCCUAAACCUGUAUCCUCUAAACUUGAUGAGCAGUCCCCACCCAGCCCUGUGAACAGCCCUGUUCGGAGUCCGAGUGUCAGCCCUGAGCCCAGCCCUGUCAGUGAGGAGCAGCUCAUUCAGCCUCCUCCUCGGUCAAAGUGGGAGAGAGAAGAUGAUGAAGAGGGGCAGGAGAACGGACUUAGUGGCCCCAAGGAACCCUCGCCCAUGCCUCAAAGGAGCCGAGGCAGAGAGGGGAAGACAGAUGUACCUAAGCCUGUCAGAAGUGAAGGCCGAGAUGCCACAAGAGAGGAAAGGAGGGGAGUAGUGAAGGAGGAGAAACAAGGGAGAAUACAGAAGGAAGAGGGUAAGGCAAGCAGGUCGACACACACAAAUUAUGACAAACCGACCAAAACAAAAACUAUGAGGGAGGAGGGGAAAGGGGUAAGAGAAGAGGGGAGAGGGGUGACAGGGAAGGAGGAGAGAGCAGCUGAAGCCAGAGGUGGAGGAGGACGAGAGGAGAGUCGUGGCCCAGAGCCCAGGAAACAGCGUUUGAGUUCUGAUCUGGGUCGUGAGACAGACGAGGCUGCUUUUGUCCCUGACUAUAGCGAAGGUGAAGGCUCAGAGCCAGAGAGGGGACGUAGCGGCAGCCCCAGUCCAUCCCUGAGUCACCCCUCUCACAGCCCCAGCCUGAGCAAUCACAGUGGCUCCGCAACCGGGAUGGACAAAAAGAAGAAGAAACAUAAGAAACAUAAAAAACACAAGAAGCACAAGAAGCACAGUGGUCAGGACAAAGAAGCAGAACACAAGGAGCACAAGCACAAACACAAGAAAAAGAAACACAAAAAGAACAAAGACAAAGAUGUGGAGGAAGACGAGAAGAAGACUGAGAGAGCGGAAGAGGAGACUCCGUGCUAACAGGCUGGACUGAACCUGCAGGCCAACAUCUGUAACCUUCUUUGUUAACAAGGAGAUAAUGAUGCAUCUAGAAAUAUCGAUGUAGAAAUAACGCUGGCAUGCUGCUUCAAGUGCUGCUCAAAGGGAGUAGAUGAAAUGACAUCUUUAACUGUCCAUGGCACUGACGAAGGGUUUUUAUUCCAAUACUUAAUGCCACUGCAGCCCUUUAAACCCACACAGGACUUUGUGUCUUGAUCGCAGCAUUAUGAGCUUUGCUGAGAUUUCUCAAUAUGUGGACCUUUGUGGUCACUUUAGGUCCAUAAACAUUUAAAAUACUGGACUGACGCUGUGCUGCAAUAUUCUGAUCAAUCCAUAGCUGGCUAGAAAGGAUUUGAUGAUAGUAACACAGCAGUGAAUCUACACAGUAGGAAUAAUAAACCAUACUCAGGGAUGUGAUGACUUCUUUGUAGAGGAGGAAUUUCUGUUUCUCUGCCUCUGAUUAAUUUGUAAAUAGACAUCAACUGUUGAUUCACAUAAUUUUUCCUGAGUUACCUUUCCUGUGUGCUGUUAAGGUAUAAAUAGUGAAUAACCAUCAUUGUUAUGGGGGCUGUUGUAGGCUCUUUUGAUGGACUCUGCUAGCAGUUUUGCAUGUUUUAGCACAUUAUCUGCAUCUUUAAGGUUCAGUUUAUGGCAGUAAAGUUUUUUUUUUUUUGUGCAAGUUAAUGAAAAUAUAAAAUGAUGGAAAGCAGUGUUCUUGGAUAGAUUACCUAUCCAACUAAUUUACCUACCUAACAUGAAAUCCAGUAGCUACAGGAAACAUGAAACUCUUUGGAGACGGUUAUUGGCAAAGCAUUUGUGAUUAUUGGGCUAAAACCUGCAAAAUUAUUAGAGUAGUCCUUGACGUUAAAGCAAAGUUUAUGCUACACUGGAUUGUAUAAAUGUUGGAUAUGUGUAUUAAUAAUGGCAAAUCAGUCUGCAUGUUUUUGUUCCAAAGGUGCAGUAACUGUCUAACAGAUUGCAUGAGUGAGUGAAUGUGUGUAUGAUGGGGUGAAAGUGAAAUGGGACAAAUUUGGGGACUGGACUUACACAUAAGUUGUUCCUUUUUGUUUUGUUUUGUUUUUUUUUAAUAAAAUGUUUUGACUUCAUGUAAAUGUCUGAGUUUUAUUUAAUUAAUGUUUGGACUUUAGAUUGUCUAAUUACCACACAAAUACAUGCAGUGGAAACAUUUCAGCCUUAUGUAAAUUAUUUGAGGUGUUUUCUAAUUAGAAAUUGGAGAUCAGAACCUCUUUAUGUUUUUAUGGGCACCUGACUAUUGUUUUGAGAAAGAUCUGAAGAUUUGUGAACUAACUCUACUGAUAAAUGUCCUACCAUUACAUUCAGAACUGUCCACUGUACUCCAGUGGUAGAAGGACACAAUUUAAACGUUACACAUAUCACAGUGCUGCGAGUGAUAAUUGCAACAUUUCAAAUCAGUAAUGAAACAUUUACUAUUAAAAAUAUAUUUUACUACAGUACAGAAGUAUUAUCACUAAACCUGACAAACUAAUCCACUGUUUCUGAAAGUACAGACUUUAUGACCUGAUUGAUUAUAUUAAAUAGAGUGCAUCAAACAUUUUAAACAUAUUUGUUGAAAAAGACAAAAAGAAAAUUUACAUUUAUUUAAUUACAUAAAUUAAAGGCAGAGACACAUGUAAAGGAGGUGUUUUAAAUGUG
rnacentral:lncRNA from 1 species